rnacentral:rRNA from 1 species
CCUACGGGUGGCAGCAGUGAGGAAUAUUGGGCAAUGGGCGCAAGCCUGACCCAGCAACGCCGCGUGAAGGAAGAAGGCUUUCGGGUUGUAAACUUCUUUUAAGAGGGAAGAGCAGGAGACGGUGCCUCUUGAAUAAGCCACGGCUAACUACGUGCCAGCAGCCGCGGUAAUACGUAGGUGGCAAGCGUUGUCCGGAUUUACUGGGUGUAAAGGGCGUGCAGGUGGGAAGGCAAGUCAGAUGUGAAAUCCUGCGGCUCAACCGUGGAACUGCCUUUGAAACUGGUUGUCUUGAGUAUCGUAGAGGUCAUCGGAAUUCCUGGUGUAGCGGUGAAAUGCGUAGAUAUAAGGAAGAACACCAGUGGCGAAGGCGGAUGACUGGACGGUAACUGACGGUGAGGCGCGAAAGCGUGGGGAGCAAACAGGAUUAGAUACCCCUGUAGUC